rnacentral:rRNA from 1 species
UGGGGAAUUUUGGACAAUGGGCGAAAGCCUGAUCCAGCAAUGCCGCGUGUGUGAAGAAGGCCUUCGGGUUGUAAAGCACUUUUGUCCGGAAAGAAAUCCUUGGCUCUAAUACAGUCGGGGGAUGACGGUACCGGAAGAAUAAGCACCGGCUAACUACGUGCCAGCAGCCGCGGUAAUACGUAGGGUGCAAGCGUUAAUCGGAAUUACUGGGCGUAAAGCGUGCGCAGGCGGUUUGCUAAGACCGAUGUGAAAUCCCCGGGCUCAACCUGGGAACUGCAUUGGUGACUGGCAGGCUAGAGUAUGGCAGAGGGGGGUAGAAUUCCACGUGUAGCAGUGAAAUGCGUAGAGAUGUGGAGGAAUACCGAUGGCGAAGGCAGCCCCCUGGGCCAAGUACUGACGCUCAUGCACGAAA